CACGUAGGUGGUUGAGUAAGUCAGAUGUGAAAGCCCCGGGCUCAACCUGGGAACUGCAUUUGAAACUGCUUGGCUGGAGUCCGGUAGAGGGGGGUGGAAUUCCAGGUGUAGCGGUGAAAUGCGUAGAUAUCUGGAGGAACAUCAGUGGCAAAGGCGGCCCCCUGGAUCGAGACUGACGCUGAGGUGCGAAAGCGUGGGGAGCAAACA
rnacentral:rRNA from 1 species